rnacentral:rRNA from 1 species
ACGUAGGGUGCGAGCGUUAAUCGGAAUUACUGGGCGUAAAGCGUGCGCAGGCGGUUCGUUGUGUCGGCGGUGAAAGCCCCGGGCUUAACCUGGGAAUGGCCGUCGAAACUGGCGAACUGGAGUGUGGCAGAGGGGGGUGGAAUUCCGCGUGUAGCAGUGAAAUGCGUAGAGAUCCGGAGGAACACCGACGGCGUAGGCAGCGCCCUGGCUGUGAUGGCUGACACUGAGGCACGAAAGCUGGGGGAGCAAACAGGA